UACGUAGGGUGCAAGCGUUGUCCGGAAUUAUUGGGCGUAAAGAGCGUGUAGGCGGCCCGAUUAGUCCGCUGUGAAAGUCCAGGGCUCAACCCUGGAAUGCCGGUGGAUACUGUCGGGCUAGAGUCCGGAAGGGGCGAGUGGAAUUCCUGGUGUAGCGGUGGAAUGCGCAGAUAUCAGGAGGAACACCAAUGGCGAAGGCAGCUCGCUGGGACGGUACUGACAC
rnacentral:rRNA from 1 species